rnacentral:rRNA from 1 species
CAGCCGUAAACUAUGCGCGUUAGGUGUAUCGGUGACCACGAGUCACCGAGGUGCCGAAGGGAAACCGUGAAACGUGCCGCCUGGGAAGUACGGUCGCAAGGCUGAAACUUAAAGGAAUUGGCGGGGGAGCACCCACAACGGGUGGAGCCUGCGGUUUAAUUGGACUCAACGCCGGGAAGCUCACCGGAUAAGACAGCGGAAUGAUUGCCGGGCUGAAGACUCUGCAUGACUAGCUGAGAGGAGGUGCAUGGCGUAGACGUCU